ensembl:lncRNA
AAAGCAGUCAAAUUUGACCUAGCAGCAGCUGGACUUGGAGAGAAACGGAUUUCAUUCCAAGGAAGGGAUGAUGACCCAGAAGUGGUCAAGGCAAAGAUUGAGGAUACCUUCCCUCAGCUAAAAGACACAGGAGGGUUUGAACUGCUGAGAAUCUCGGGUACAACACGAAGCCGUAACCUGUGCACAAUCCCAAGCCCAGACACUGGAUAUACAGUGCGAUAUCUCCGCAGUCCAUUGAGUGGAAUUGGACAAGCUUUGAUCUAUAUAAGGCCACUGCAGAAAAGUAUUGAUUUGGAAGACAGCCUGACAACCCUCCAGCAACAAGGACCCCCCC